GUUCUGACGAUGCUCAAAGGAGAGAACGGAAGCUGGGUGUGGGUCACAGACCAGAAGGCAGUGGCUCUGGGGACGGCAGGUCUGGCUUCCCUUCUGGGCUUGCGGAUGUGGGUGCUUUGCAGUGAGCUAGUGAACCUCCACUGAGGCUCAAGACGCCCCUCCCGGUGCCAUGAAACCUUGUCCCUCGUCCCCUGGCAUCUUGGGCUGCAGAAAAGAGGCCCCGUGACAGUCCCUUCCCACUGCCCUGCAGGUCACCUUGCUGUCCCGGAAGCUGGUGCUCUUUUCCCUUUAUCCGCAGGGUCCCUGUGUUUCUCAGGGUGAAGGCCUUCUUCUCCGUCUCCUGUAACCCUGCGGACAGGAACAUUAUGCACGACCAUCACACAGAGGGGGAAACCGAGGCUCAGACUUGCCUCCCACUCUUGGUGCACCUCAUGCCCCUGCCUCGGGGAGCCUCCUCGACUAGCGUCUUUCAUGAGUCUCUGGAUAAAUCAGCCAUUUGAGUAUUUUCCCUCCUGAAUUAACCUCCACUCCCUGGUGAGAUUGAAAACAUGGGCAAACCCAUGACUACUUAUUUUUGUAAAAAACCAGGAGGUGGAAAUAGCUGACCCUCUGACCCUCCCCGGCCCCUGCAGCCGGUCGCUCGGAGCUGUGUCUUCCGAUCCUAAAUGAGCAGGAGGAGUCAGCUGAGGGCCCAGCACCCGGAUCUGCCCUGUGCAGAAAUCACAAAGGUGUUGGCUGCCCAGUGCACUCAGCGGUCUCGAGAGGAAAAGCAAGAAAGUCCUUUCCUGCACAGAAUGAACGGCCCCCGCCCCCAUCAAUAGCCUCCAUCAGGGCUGUCCCCCGCCCCCAGCAUCUUUUCACACUGGAGCCACGGGGAACCUUCUGGAGAGCGGACACGAGGCGCCUCCACCCCACCCCUGGUUCUCCUCUGCUUUUGGCAACCAGCACUUACCAAAACAGGUAUGUUUAUGGGGCAGAUGAGGACAAGCAGCGCUACAACCGGGAGCUUCAGUCCUCCCAGCGCUCCCAGGCUUCCCGAGCCUUCCCGGGGAGGCAAACGGCGCACGAGGCACAGGCCCUGUGUGGUGAGUGGGGCCCGGCCAGGGGGGGCUGGAACUCUCCCUGCGGGGCCUGAGACUCUGGGAUGGUUAACGGCAGGAGGCGUGUUUGGAAAGCUGGUUGGU
rnacentral:lncRNA from 1 species